rnacentral:rRNA from 1 species
CCUACGGGUUGCAGCAGUGGGGAAUCUUGCGCAAUGGGCGAAAGCCUGACGCAGCCAUGCCGCGUGAAUGAUGAAGGUCUUAGGAUUGUAAAAUUCUUUUAGCAGGGACGAUAGUGACGGUACCUGCAGAAAAAGCCCCGGCUAACUUCGUGCCAGCAGCCGCGGUAAUACGAAGGGGGCUAGCGUUGCUCGGAAUUACUGGGCGUAAAGGGAGCGUAGGCGGGUUAUCAAGUUGGAGGUGAAAGCCCAGAGCUCAACCUUGGAAUUGCCUUCAAAACUGAUAACCUAGAGGAUGAUAGAGGUAAGUGGAACUCCGAGUGUAGAGGUGAAAUUCGUAGAUAUUCGGAAGAACACCAGUGGCGAAGGCGACUUACUGGAUCAUUACUGACGCUGAGGCUCGAAAGCGGGGGGAGCAAACAGGAUUAGAUACCCGCGUAGUC